rnacentral:tRNA from 1 species
UUAAGGGAGACCUAAGGCACAUACCGAGUAAACUCAUGUAAAAGCUUGGAUGGUUAGCCUAAUCCCAAGGUCGUAACGAGUGAAGGUAGCAAAAGUUUCAAACUAUUGGAUAGGUUCAGAUAAAUUAGUUAAUCAAGGGCUAUUAGCUCAGGUGGUUAGAGCGCACCCCUGAUAAGGGUGAGGUCCCUGGUUCAAGUCCAGGAUGGCCCACCAGAUAAUUAUCCAAACAGGAGAAAGAUAACAGCACCUGUACCAACUGUAAAAGAGGUGGUAGGGAUGCUGGAGUGAUACUCCAGUAAAUGAACCUUGAAAACUGCAUAGCCAGAUGUCUGCCCAGCAGGUGAGUAUCUGAAGAGACAAGUAAUAUUGACUCGAAGAACUGACUGAAUUGGAAAGAAAAGAAAAAUUGGUCAAGCUAACAAGAGCUAAUGGU